AUUGAACGCUGGCGGCAGGCUUAACACAUGCAAGUCGAGCGGGGUGAUGGUGCUUGCGCUAUCACUUAGCGGCGGACGGGUGAGUAAUGCUUAGGAAUCUGCCUAUUAGUGGGGGACAACAUCUCGAAAGGGAUGCUAAUACCGCAUACGUCCUACGGGAGAAAGCAGGGGAUCACUUGUGACCUUGCGCUAAUAGAUGAGCCUAAGUCGGAUUAGCUAGUUGGUGGGGUAAAGGCCUACCAAGGCGACGAUCUGUAGCGGGUCUGAGAGGAUGAUCCGCCACACUGGGACUGAGACACGGCGCAGACUCCUACGGGAAGCAGCAGUGGGGAAUAUUGGACAAUGGGGGGAACCCUGAUCCAGCCAUGCCGCGUGUGUGAAGAAGGCCUUAUGGUUGUAAAGCACUUUAAGCGAGGAGGAGGCUCUUUUGGUUAAUACCCAAGAUGAGUGGACGUUACUCGCAGAAUAAGCACCGGCUAACUCUGUGCCAGCCGCCGCGGUAA
rnacentral:rRNA from 1 species